rnacentral:rRNA from 1 species
AUUGAACGCUGGCGGCAUGCCUUACACAUGCAAAUCGAACGGUAACGGGCCUUCGGGUGCCGACGAGUGGCGAACGGGUGAGUAAUACAUCGGAACGUGCCCGAUCGUGGGGGAUAACGAGGCGAAAGCUUUGCUAAUACCGCAUACGAUCUACGGAUGAAAGCAGGGGACCGCAAGGCCUUGCGCGGACGGAGCGGCCGAUGGCAGAUUAGGUAGUUGGUGGGAUAAAAGCUUACCAAGCCGACGAUCUGUAGCUGGUCUGAGAGGAUGAUCAGCCACACUGGGACUGAGACACGGCCCAGACUCCUAUGGGAGGCAGCAGUGGGGAAUUUUGGACAAUGGGCGCAAGCCUGAUCCAGCCAUGCCGCGUGCAGGAUGAAGGCCUUCGGGUUGUAAACUGAUUUUGUACGGAACGAAAAGCCUUCUUUUAAUACAGGAGGGUCAUGACGGUACCGUAAGAAUAAGCACCGGCUAACUACGUG